UACGGGGGGGGCAAGCGUUGUUCGGAAUUACUGGGCGUAAAGGGUUUGUAGGUGGCUUGUUAAGUCAGACGUGAAAUCCCUCAGCUUAACUGGGGAACUGCGUCUGAUACUGGCGAGCUUGAGUGCAGGAGAGGAACGCGGAAUUCCAGGUGUAGUGGUGAAAUGCGUAGAUAUCGGGAGGAACACCAGUGGCGAAGGCGACUACCUGGCCUGUUCUUGACGCUGAGGCGCGAAAGCUAGGGGAGCAAACGGG
rnacentral:rRNA from 1 species